GUCCCUUCAAGGGCAUCCUAUAAAAUUGGAACGAUACAAAGAAGAUUAGCAUGACUCACGCACCAGAAUGACACGCAUAAAUCGAGAAAUAUUCUAUUUUUUU